GAUCUUGGUUCAGAUUGAACGCUGGCGGCGUGCUUAACACAUGCAAGUCGCGCGUGAAAGGACUUCGGUCCGAGUAAAGCGGCGCACGGGUGAGUAACGCGUGGAUGAUCUACCCAUGAGUUAGGAAUAACGGCUGGAAACGGUCGCUAAUACCAAAUACGCUCCGAUUUCAACUUCGGGGGAAAGGUGGCCUCUGCUUGCAAGCUACUGCUCAUGGAUGAGUCCGCGUCCCAUUAGCUAGUUGGUGGGGUAACGGCCCACCAAGGCGACGAUGGGUAGCCGGUCUGAGAGGGUGGACGGCCACAUUGGAACUGAGACACGGUCCAGACUCCUACGGGAGGCAGCAGCUAAGAAUCUUCCGCAAUGGGCGAAAGCCUGACGGAGCGACGCCGCCGUGAACGAAGAAGGCCGUGAGGUUGUAAAGUUCUUUUCGGGAGGGGGAACAACCGUGGCAGGGAAUGGCCGCGGGAUGACGUGAAUCCCGGAAUAAGCCCCGGCUAACUACGUGCCAGCAGCAGC
rnacentral:rRNA from 1 species